rnacentral:rRNA from 1 species
UUGGGGCAAAUNUGGNGCCAGCAGCCNGGGUAAUUCCAGCUCCAAUAGCGUAUAUUAAAGUUNUGGCGGUUAAAAAGCUNGUAGUUCGAGCUCANUUCCGGACUGGUGGGGGAGGUCACCGCCCGGUGCUUCCCCGUCAGGCUCCGAACAGCUUCCGUGAGUGGAAGCCAAGCCGGUUCUGCCGGGGUGCUCUUUACCGAGUGUCCCGUGCGGCCGGCCAGUUCACCUUGAAUAAAUGAGAGUGCUCAAAGCAGGCUACUCUCGAAUACAAUGCCCGAAUGUUACCUGCAUGGAAUGAUGGAAGAUGAUCUCGGUUCCAUUUUCUUGGUGGUGGGAGCCAGAGGUAAUGAUAAAGAGGGACUGUCGGGGGCAUCCGUACUACGACGCGAGAGGUGAAAUUCAGUGACCGUCGUAGGACGAACAACAGCGAAAGCAUUUGCCAAGAAUGUCUUCGUUGAUCAAGAACGAAAGUUAGAGGAUCGAAGGCGAUCAGAUACCGCCCUAGUUCUAACCCUAAACGAUGCUGACUAGCAAUUCGCCGUCGUUAUUCCCAUGACGUGGCGAGACGCCCCCGGGAAACCUCAAGUCUUUGAGUUCCGGGGGUAGUAUGGUUGCAAAACUGAAACUUAAAGGAAUUGACGGAAGGGCACCACCAGGAGUGGAGCCUGCGGCUUAAUUUGACUCAACACGGGAAAGCUCACCAGGCCCGGACACCAGAAGGAUUGACAGAUUAAGAGCUCUUUCUCGAUUU